ensembl:snoRNA SNORD113-4 small nucleolar RNA, C/D box 113-4
UGGACUGAUGAUGAGUGCCAUGGGGUAUCUGAAGUCGGGAUAUUUUGAUUAAACCCGAAUGCGACUCUGAGGUCCGA